rnacentral:rRNA from 1 species
GUCGAACGAGAGACCUUCGGGUCUCUAGUGGCGAACGGGUGAGUAACACGUUAGAAACCUGCCCGCGCACCGGGAAUACGCUCUGGAAACGGAGAACAAAUCCCGAUGUACAGGAAGGAGGCAUCUUCUUUCUGUGAAACAUCCUUUCGGGGAUGGGGCGCGGAUGGACCUGCGGUGCAUUAGUUGGUUGGCGGGGUAAAGGCCCACCAAGACGAUGAUGCAUAGCCGGCCUGAGAGGGCGGACGGCCACAUUGGGACUGAGACACGGCCCAGACUCCUGCGGGAGGCAGCAGUAGGGAAUUUUCGUCAAUGGGCGCAAGCCUGAACGAGCGAUGCCGCGUGAGUGAAGAAGGCCUUCGGGUCGUAAAGCUCUGUUGCGGGGGAAAAAAGGCAGCAUCAGGAAAUGGGUGCUAACUGAUGGUGCCCCGCCAGAAAGUCACGGCUAACUACGUGCCAGCAGCCGCGGUAAUACGUAGGUGGCGAGCGUUAUCCGGAAUGAUUGGGCGUAAAGGGUGCGCAGGCGGUCCUGCAAGUCUGGAGUGAAACGCAUGAGCUCAACUCAUGCAUGGCUUUGGAAACUGGAGGACUGGAGAGCAGGAGAGGGCGGUGGAACUCCAUGUGUAGCGGUAAAAUGCGUAGAUAUAUGGAAGAACACCAGUGGCGAAGGCGGCCGCCUGGCCUGUUGCUGACGCUGAGGCACGAAAGCGUGGGGAGCAAAUAGGAUUAGAUACCCUAGUAGUCCACGCCGUAAACGAUGAGGACCAAGUGUUGGGGGUGAAACCUCAGUGCUGAAGUUAGCGCAG